AACAGGAGUUCAGGAAACCAGGUUAAUGGUGAUAUGAAGUACUACUUCCAAGAUGGAGACACCAAAACACCAGCAGCCUUCCUGGAUGAGCUAACACCUGUAUUGGGGAAUGUCCUGAUACGUUUUCGUCUAGUUUUUAAGAACUUGACUAGAGUACCUAGUGAGGCUGAUGUUCUCAAUGCUGCUAAUGCUCUGCUGGACUCAAAGAUCAGAAGAGCACAAUGUCUUAUCACAGCAAACCAGCAACUCCAUUUCCAGGAAUGCACCGCCAACUAGAAACAUGGUCGAAGAUGACUACACUUCCCACGCACACACGCAUGCAUGCAUGCACGCACCCACACACACACACACACACCCACACACACCCAAACACGCUUCACCUUCCCCAGAGUUCUAAUCACACACACCUGUUGCCAAUCUCACGCACACUCACGCCAUACUAUAUGAGAGACUAUUUGGACACUUUGUAUUUGUGAAGUGUACGCUCAGUUCCCUAGUGUCUCUGUCUAUUCAAAGUCUUAUUGUUGUGUUUGUUUAAUCUGGUUUUGACUUUGUUCUCAUUAAUGACCUUGUCACUACCCCUAGUCUUGUUUGGACUGUUCGCAUGAUUGCCUGACCUCUGCCUGUCUAUGGUUGUUGACCUGUCUUACCCUUUGGACUUGUUGUUUUUUGAUUAAAUUACCAAUCCUGCACUGUCUACAUCUCCAUUUCAUGACACACGAGCUCUUCUAACACAAAACUGAGUGAUCCUGUGAACAUACAGAAUGUCACUUUGUUACGCACUCGCGGUAGAUGGCACUGCGGCGCGGCUUCAGAGAGCGCACGUGCACGGGACUGAACUCUAGUAUACGGACACGUGUCUUCCUGUUCCGGUGUUGGUUUAUGUUCAAGGGUGUCUCAUUAUUGGUUCCAGCUGUCUGUACUUAAGGGUGAUUAUGUUGGUUAUUUAAACUCCUGGUGUUGCUGUGCACUUCACGCAGUAUUACCCGUAUAGUUGAAAGUGAUAGUGAAUGCGUUAAAUAUGCUAUGCUAAGUCUUAUUUCCACGUCCUGCUCUCAUUCCAUGCCUAGACUUUGGUUCCAUGUUUAACCUAGUUAAUCUUGUUCAGUAUAGACCACAUUUCCUGUGUUUUGUCUGCUGCAUGAAAAUAAAGACGUUGAUCUGCACCUGCUUCUGCUACCGUUUUGUAACACACUUAUGAAAAAAUUGGCAACAACUACAUUAUAAGCUUUGCAUUUCAAAUCAGCAAUGUGACCAUCUCCAAGGACCUUCAGUUGAGGAACGGAACUGUUACGCCACGGCCAGCAGAGGGCACUGCGACGGUGACCUGCAUCCGCCUCCAGUCUCGUUCCGUGACAGGAACAUAUGAUUUUAUACAAAACACCGUCAACAGCCUGAUUUCCCUCAUGGAUUGGGACAAACCCUUUUUGAGGUAAAGGGGUUCUGUACUUGCCUGAACUUCAGGGUUAGGUCACCAGGAGCUUAGAGCUUAACAGGGCUACCUUGUUGAACAGGUAUGAAGAUGUCAGACAAAUGUGAUCCCCCAUGAAAUAAAAUAAAGACUAAGUAUAAUCUGCCUGGAUUAGGGUUACUAAGACCCACCCCAUGAGCUAGGCCUAUUGGUGGUGUCUGCAGGCGAGUACUGGGGUGACCGGGUCAUACAUCUAUCCUGAAAUGGUGACUUGGAGCCAUCUUGUGAGCUCAUCGCCUAUACAGGUGCAUCUCAAAAAAAUAAAUAUCAUGGACAAAUUUUUUUUCGUAAUUUGAUUCUAAAAGUGGAACUUCCAUGUAUUAUAAAUUUAUUACACAUAAAGAAAUAUUUCAAGCCUUUUUUUUAUCUUGAUUACGGCUUACAGCUCAUGGAAAUAAAUCCAAUAUCUCAAAAUAUUAGAAUAAAGAAUUUAUAAUACAGAAAUGUUGACCUUCUGAAAAGUAUGAUAAUUUAUGUGCUUAUACUCGGUCGGGGCUUUAAUCCGGUUGCAGGAAUUACUGCAUCAGUGCGGCGUGGCAUGGGGUCAAUCAGCAUGUGGCACUGCUGAGGUGUUCUGAAAGACCAGGUUGCUUUGAUAGUGGUCUUCAGCUCGUCUGUAUUGUUCGGUCUGGUGUCUCUCAUAGAUUCUCUAUGGGGUUCGGGUCAGGCGAGUCGGCUGUUCAAUCAAACACAGUAAUACCAUGGUCAGCAAACCAGUUACUAAUAGUUUUGCCACUGUUGGCAGGUGCCAAGUCCAAGUGCUGGAAAAGGAAAUCAGCAUCUCCAUAAAGCUCGUCAGCAGAUGGAAGCAUGAAGUGCUCUAAAAUCUCCUGGUAGAUGCUGCAUUGACUCUCAACUUGAGAAAACACAGUGGACCAACACCAGCUGAUGACAUGGCACCUCAAAUCAUCACUGACUGUAGAAACUUCACACUGGACUUCAAGCAACUUGGAUUCUGUUCCUCUCCACUCUUCCUCCAGACUCUGGGACCUUGAUUUCCAAAUGAAAUGCAAAAUUUACUUUCAUCUGAAAAGAGGACUUUGGACCACUGAGCAAUGGUCCAGUUCUUUUUAAAGGCUCAGGAAACCUUUGCAGGUGUUUUGAGUUAAAUAGCUGAUUAGAGCUCUUCUCAGGUUGCUAUUUCUGUAUUAUAAAUUCUUUAUUCUAAUAUUUUGAGAUGCUGGAUUUUUGAUGUCCUUGAGCUGUAAGCCGUAAUCAUCAAGAUUAAAACAAAAAAAGCUUGAAAUAAUACAUUAUUCAGUUAAGAGGUAUAGGAGAGCCAGAAUGGAAUAUUCAUGAAAACAUUUCAAGAAGCAAAAAGUCUAGCUUGAGAGAAGUUUCGAAAGACAGACAAUUUGAGUCUCCCCAAAGAAUUUUCACUUUACCUGUGGUCACUAGCUGUGAGUAUUGAGCAAAUGAAUUAGGUCCCAAGUACAGGCAGCACAACUGACAUUUUCUCUGCAGACUUAAUCUUUGAGAUAAGGUGAGGAGUUAAACAAUCUGGGAGAGCCUCAGAAUAGAGAUGCUGCUACAUGUUACAUAAUUCUAUUUCUGAUCAUCUCUGUAUGAAGCAACACCCACUAUUGUCAAGUUGCAUAAAAAUAGCUUCUGUCAUGAACAUGGGAAUAUGAUUCCUGAGUCCACUCCUUGUUGCACCUUUAUAAGCUUAGCUUUUGGGUAAAUCAUCUUCCAGAGAGACAGAGUUGUCAUUAAGGAUAUUGCUGAGGGAGUUACAGGGAACAGAUUAUUGUUUUAGAUCAGAUGGUUAUGACUAAAAUAAGGUAAUAUCUCAUUAUGGUUUUUUGUACUCUCAUUUUGGCUUCUAAUCAUCAAUUUGCACCUUUUCCCCUCACAUUUAGUGCAAUAAAGUAACAGUUAAACUGCAAAUUCAUAUAUUCUGAUUUUGUUUGUAAAAUUGCAUAAUUUUUUUAUUAUUAUUAUUGGGGAUGCUAUUGUGAUAUUGUAGAGUUGUUGAAUUAUUGACAUUUUCAAAUUGCUAUAUUGAACAUUCAUAAUAAUUAAAAAUCCAAUUUGAUUUAA